UGGGCGCAGCCUGAUCCAGCCAUGCCGCGUGUGUGAUGAAGGCCUUCGGGUUGUAAAGCACUUUCACCGGGGAAGAAAGUGACGGGAUUAGUGCAAGAAUCCCCGGCUAAUUCCCUGCCAGCAACCGCGGUAAUACACCGUGCCAGCAGCCGCGGUAAUACAA
rnacentral:rRNA from 1 species